rnacentral:rRNA from 1 species
UACGAAGGGGGCUAGCGUUGCUCGGAAUCACUGGGCGUAAAGCGCACGUAGGCGGAUUGCUAAGUCAGGGGUGAAAUCCUGGAGCUCAACUCCAGAACUGCCUUUGAUACUGGCGAUCUUGAGUCCGGGAGAGGUGAGUGGAAUUCCGAGUGUAGAGGUGAAAUUCGUAGAUAUUCGGAAGAACACCAGUGGCGAAGGCGGCUCACUGGCCCGUUACCGACGCUCAGGCGCGACAGCGUGGGGAGCAAACAGG